rnacentral:rRNA from 1 species
GGUUGAUCCUGCCAGUAGUCAUAUGCUUGUUUAGAGGAUUAAGCCAUGCAAGUCUAAGUUUAAGUCAUGAUAAUAAGACGAAGCUGCGAAUGGCUCAUUAAAACAGUUGGCGGUCCGACAAGAUGUGGAAACGGAUAACCUCGGUAAUUCUGGGGCUAAUACGAGGCAGUACCUAAGGGUAGAGAGCAGGUUUACAGUAGUUGUGCUGUUGUAACGCGAUUUGGUGGAGGUGAGGAACGAAUGUUCAAAAUUAAUCACGACAGUGAGCUCUUGUGUAACCUUCUGAUCUAUCA